CCUCCUCUCCUCUCUCUCUCACCGACUGGAGGUUGGGAGCGGGCGGGAGUGGCGGCCCCGGCAGCGGCGGGCACGGCAACGACGGUGGCGGGUGGCGGGCACGGCGACAGCCUGCGGCGGCGGAUCCGGCGGCGCCGUCCUCGGAAGGGCAGCCUCGAUCUCCGCUGGUCCUUCGUCGGGAAGGCUGUCCGACACCCAAGCGGCUGAAGGAUCAAGGAUUCAAGGCCCUGAGGUGGUAUGGCGAGCCAGGAGAAGCCCACGCCGCCUCGGCAUCCGCCUCCGCACCCACCGGCGCCGGAGGUCGCGCCUCUUGUGUGCGGGUUCGGAGGGGGUCCACCGGGCCGCGGCGGCAGCGGCUCGGCCUCCCACCCAACUCCAGCGCCGCCGCCCGGCCACCCUCGCCCCCUCCUUCCCUCCCCCGUCGCCGCCGUCCUCCCUCCCCUAUUCUUUCCCCUUGGUACCUCCUCUGAUCGAAGCUGACUUGACCUGUUGAGAUUGCCCCCAUGUCACCGCCGUGGUCACCUCUGGGAUGGGAAGCACGGGUCACGACGCGGAGGUCACCUGGGCCGACUUCGACGGCUCGUCUUUGGCGUCGCCUUCUUCGUUUCUCAGAUAAAUGAAGAUUUUCACAGAAAACAAAGAUUUUUUUUAUGAUCUGGGUUCAUUAUGUUCUUGGUGCCCAUUGAUUUAAUAAUUAGGUAAUGUUAAAAAGUUUGUGCUCUCAGGACAUCUUAGAUGGAAGCAGUGGAUAAAGAAGUUGCAGUUCAUUAUCAAUAUACAAGAUGCACUCCAAUGAAAUCAAACAUGUCAGGCAGCAAGGUGAGGAGAAUACCAACCAUUUACUUAAUGGAUGCUCAUUUGGUAACUACAAUAAUCCAUGAACCAUAAGCAAACUGAAAUCUUUAACUUGUACCUAGUUAUUUCUCAAAGUAGUAUUGAAGUAGGCAGCAUUAGCAAUCAGUAAUGACUCUGCGCAAGGUUGAAGCAUUCAAACUGCAUAUAUUUACUGCAAGAACUUGUGCAUAGUACACAACUUGUUAUAAACGCAAACCUGUCAAUUCUUCAUGUUUGUGUGCUACUAGUGGGAGAGUUCAGAGGACAUGAAGAGUUGCUGCAACUCUGCUCAUUUGCUUGAAUUGGUGGUCCAGCAUUUCUGGAAAAUAACUGCAAAACUUUUGGAUCAAGCAAAAUCUUGCAAUUAGGCGUCAACUAAUAUCAUCCAAACUGAAUUAAAAAUUAGGAUAGGUACUGCUCUAAGAUUACCUCAAACUUACUUGAUCUAGCAGCGUGUGUUGGGCUCCUCAAAGGGUCACGUUAAUGGGCCACCUGCGUCAGGAAAUAUGGGGAGAAGUAGAUGCCCAAAUAACGACCGUAUACCACAUAAUUUUAACAAGGACUAAUAUGGUGGUCGUCAGUUUUGGUUUAACUAGCUGGAAUUAACUGUAAGUCUGUAACGACCAGGACUGUUUACUCUUCAUCGUUAAUAAUUGAAUGUCUAGUAGUGCUCUUUGCCUCAGGAAGCUUUGAUGAAAUUGCUAUUGUCGCUGGUGGGUGUGAUAAGAAUGGACAGGUGCUGAAAUCUGCCGAGCUGUACAAUUCAGAGACUGGUCAUUGGGAAACUUUGGCAGACAUGAACUUGGCGAGGAGGCUCUCAUCCAGUUUCUUCUUGGAUGGUUUCUACAGAUGUAAGGUUUGUCCAUCCUCUUCGUGUCGCCUUGAUGAUUCAUGAUGAGACGGCAGUGGUAUUUUGGUUGGUGUGAUUUCGACACAUGGUUUUGUGUUUGGUAAGUGAACCUGAGAUUGUAUUUGGACGUGGUUGGGUUGGUACAUAUGUAUUUUGACAUGUGAUUAUGUGUUAAGUCAGUACUAAUGUACUGAACCUGAUUAUGUGCCGAUGUAUUUUGUUUUGGCUAGUUAAUCUGUAAUGUAUUCAUGGUCAGUGAACUUGUGACUGUGAUUGUAUUUGAAUAUGUGACUGGGUUGGCACAUAUGUAUUUGCACUGUAUUAGAUGACCAUUGGUUUUUAUUGGCUA